CCGGACCACCGACCUCAACCUCAACCACCGUACGUCUUCGUCGCCGUGGGUUCCCCAGUUAAGACCCAGCCAAGAUCCGGAUCGAGAAACAGAGACUAGAUGGCCCAGAAUCCGCCGGAUCGAUUGAGUUGUUGGCCCAAAUCCGAAGGUGGAGCGCCGGAGCAGCCAUGGCAGAGAGAGAGUAUGGUUCGGGUGACGGCGGCGCUCGGAGGUUGAGGUCGAAUCCGG
rnacentral:lncRNA from 1 species